UACGUAGGGGGCAAGCGUUAUCCGGAAUCACUGGGCGUAAAGGGUGCGUAGGCGGCCUGACAAGUCAGAGGUGAAAGGCUACGGCUUAACCGUAGUAAGCCUUUGAAACUGUUGGGCUAGAGUGCAGGAGAGGUAAGUGGAAUUCCUAGUGUAGCGGUGAAAUGCGUAGAUAUUAGGAGGAACACCAGUGGCGAAGGCGACUUACUGGACAGAUACUGACGCUGAGGCGCGAAAGCGUGGGGAGAACAGG
rnacentral:rRNA from 1 species